rnacentral:piRNA from 1 species
UUUGGACUAGCCAGAAUUCUACCCUGGA